UAAAAGUUUUAUUCUUUCUUUAGAUUUUGUAGGAUUAUUGAGAUUGUAUGAAGUAUUAUUAGGGUAAAAGGAAGAAAAUUAAAUGGUAUAUGAGUAAAGUUAAGCAUUUAGCUAUAAUCUUAAAUUCUCAGCAAGGAUAAUUAGACAAUGAUGAAUGGAUUUAAUUUAGCAAUAAUUUAAGAUUUGAUUAAAUAUUGUGCCAGCAGUCGCGGUUAGACUUUAAAAUCAAGCAAAAUUUAUCAGCAUCGUUAGUUAAAUGUUAGAUUUAUUUUAAACUUCAGAAAAUAAAAGGUGAAAUUAGACUGUUUUAAUUAAGUUAACAGGAAAAUCUAUAUUGAAACUAAGGAGUUUUGGAUUUAAACUAGGAUUAGAUACCCUAUUAUACUAAAAUAAUAGAAAAAGCUGGAAUAUUAAAAGAUAAAGACUUUAAAUUCAAAGAAUUUGGCGGUAAUUUAGUCUUUUCAGAGGAACCUGUUUUUAUAAUCGAUAAACCACGAAGAAUCUUACUUACUUUUGUAAAUUUAUGAGUUUGUAUACCGUCAUUAUCAGAUAAUAUUUAAAGGUAAGAUUAUUGGGCCUUAAAUAGCAAGGGAAAUUAGAUCAAGGUGCAGCUAAUAAGUAAGUUAAAAUGGGUUACAAUAAAUUAAAUUUAAUAAUGAAAAAAGAUUUGAAAUAGUCUUAUGAAGGAGGAUUUGAUUGUAAUGGGAAUUAGUAUGGUAAAAAGAUAUAAGCUCUAAAUUAUGUACAUAUCGCCCGUCGCUUUCGUUGUAUAGACGAAAUAAGUCGUAACAUAGUAGAUUUACUGGAAAGUGAAUCUAAAUUAAG
rnacentral:ncRNA from 1 species